rnacentral:rRNA from 1 species
AGCGAACGCUGGCGGCAGGCUUAACACAUGCAAGUCGAGCGGGCAUAGCAAUACGUCAGCGGCAGACGGGUGAGUAACGCGUGGGAACGUACCUUUUGGUUCGGAACAACACAGGGAAACUUGUGCUAAUACCGGAUAAGCCCUUACGGGGAAAGAGUUAUCGCCGAAAGAUCGGCCCGCGUCUGAUUAGCUAGUUGGUGAGGUAAUGGCUCACCAAGGCGACGAUCAGUAGCUGGUCUGAGAGGAUGAUCAGCCACAUUGGGACUGAGACACGGCCCAAACUCCUACGGGAGGCAGCAGUGGGGAAUAUUGGACAAUGGGCGCAAGCCUGAUCCAGCCAUGCCGCGUGAGUGAUGAAGGCCCUAGGGUUGUAAAGCUCUUUUGUGCGGGAAGAUAAUGACGGUACCGCAAGAAUAAGCCCCGGCUAACUUCGUGCCAGCCGCCGCGGUAA